CGAUCUUGUGGCAGGAGCUGAG
rnacentral:miRNA from 1 species